GCCUGAAUGGCUCAGUUGGUUAAGCAUAUGACUUCAGCUCAGGUCAUGAUCUCACAGUUCGUGGGUUUGAGUCCCGCGUCGGGCU
rnacentral:tRNA from 1 species